rnacentral:rRNA from 1 species
AGUGAACGCUGGCGGUAGGCCUAACACAUGCCAGUCGAACGGCAGCACAGUAAGAGCUUGCUCUUACGGGUGGCGAGUGGCGGACGGGUGAGGAAUACAUCGGAAUCUACUUUUUCGUGGGGGAUAACGUAGGGAAACUUACGCUAAUACCGCAUACGACCUACGGGUGAAAGCAGGGGAUCUUCGGACCUUGCGCGAUUGAAUGAGCCGAUGUCGGAUUAGCUAGUUGGCGGGGUAAAGGCCCACCAAGGCGACGAUCCGUAGCUGGUCUGAGAGGAUGAUCAGCCACACUGGAACUGAGACACGGUCCAGACUCCUACGGGAGGAAGCAGUGGGGAAUAUUGGACAAUGGGCGCAAGCCUGAUCCAGCCAUAACGCGUGGGUGAAGAAGGCCUUCGGGUUGUAAAGCCCUUUUGUUGGGAAAGAAAAGCAGCAGGUUAAUACCCCGCUGUUCUGACGGUACCCAAAGAAUAAGCACCGGCUAACUUCGUG